rnacentral:rRNA from 1 species
GAUCCUGGCUCAGGAUGAACGCUAGCUAUAGGCUUAACACAUGCAAGUCGAGGGGCAGCAUGGUCUUAGCUUGCUAAGGCCGAUGGCGACCGGCGCACGGGUGAGUAACACGUAUCCAACCUGCCGUCUACUCUUGGACAGCCUUCUGAAAGGAAGAUUAAUACAAGAUGGCAUCAUGAGUCCGCACGUUCACAUGAUUAAAGGUAUUCCGGUAGACGAUGGGGAUGCG